rnacentral:pre_miRNA from 1 species
UCAUUCGGAUUCGCCAUCAUACGUCCAACCCUGCAUUUGAUAUGCAUAUAUAUGCAUCACGAGCCACGUUUGGGCUGUAUGAUGGCGAUACCGAUUGG